UGGGCAGUAGCUCAGUGGUAGAGCUCCCACUCCGCGUGCGGGGAGACCUGGGUUCGAUUCCCGGCUGCUUGC
rnacentral:tRNA from 1 species